UCCACCGCGAGGUGGAAUCUGAAGGAAGCCAGUCGGCAAAGUUCUGACCCGAGGAACACGAACACCAUCAGGCGCGAAACGUGGGGUAAGACUGCUAAACAAGUUAAAGCCCAAAAGCUGCACGGACACGUCAGCGUAAAUGUUGCGGGUACAUGGAAUGAAAGUGAAUCGU
rfam:Desulfitobacterium hafniense Y51 DNA, complete genome.